UCGUGACUGCGUGCCUUUUGAAGAAUGAGCCUGCGAGUUUGCGGUGUGUUGCGAGGUUAACCCGUGUGGGGAAGCCGUAGCGAAAGCGAGUCCGAACAGGGCGGUGUAGUAGCACGCUCAAGACCCGAAGCGGAGUGAUCUAGCCAUGGGCAGGUUGAAGCGGCUGUAAGAGGUCGUGGAGGACCGAACCCACCAGGGUUGAAAACCUGGGGGAUGACCUGUGGUUAGGGGUGAAAGGCCAAUCAAACUCCGUGAUAGCUGGUUCUCCCCGAAAUGCAUUUAGGUGCAGCGUCGUGUGUUUCUUGCCGGAGGUAGAGCACUGGAUAGGCGAUGGGCCUUACCGGGUUACUGACCUUAGCCAAACUCCGAAUGCCGGUAAGUGAGAGCACGGCAGUGAGACUGUGGGGGAUAAGCUCCAUGGUCGAGAGGGAAACAGCCCAGAGCAUCGACUAAGGCCCCUAAGCGUACGCUAAGUGGGAAAGGAUGUGGAGUCGCAGAGACAACCAGGAGGUUGGCUUAGAAGCAGCCACCCUUGAAAGAGUGCGUAAUAGCUCACUGGUCUAGUGAUUCCGCGCCGACAAUGUAGCGGGGCUCAAGCGUACCGCCGAAGUCGUGUCAUUGCAGC
rnacentral:rRNA from 1 species